UAUUGUAAAUCGGGAUUGUUAUGUGUAUUUUGAUCAGUUGAUUGAGUAGAACUGUGCAUGUAGAGGAUCGGGUUUUAAUGUUCAUAGUGCUAACACAUUCAUCUUUUUCACAGUUGGUUCUGAAGCAGAUGAUGACAGGCUUCAGUUUCUUCUCAAGGAAGUUCAGGGAAGCUGCUCUUGAUUUGGUAGCUGUGAUGUCAGUGGAGAAUUAUGUUUAAUUUUUGACUUCUCUGUAUAUGUUGCAUAAGGACAAAUUUUAGGAUUAAGGACUAAUGUCGAAUUCAAUUUGGGGCAAAUCUCAGACACAUGAGCCAAGCCUUGGGCAUAGACAUAUCAUAAUCGUUUCUUCAAUCGCAUAUCAUUUGCCUUCAUACAGUCGUGAUUCAUGCUAAAG